GUGUCAGCCGCCGCGGUAAUACGGAGGGUGCAAGCGUUAAUCGGAAUUACUGGGCGUAAAGCGCACGCAGGCGGUCUGUCAAGUCGGAUGUGAAAUCCCCGGGCUCAACCUGGGAACUGCAUUCGAAACUGGCAGGCUAGAGUCUUGUAGAGGGGGGUAGAAUUCCAGGUGUAGCGGUGAAAUGCGUAGAGAUCUGGAGGAAUACCGGUGGCGAAGGCGGCCCCCUGGACAAAGACUGACGCUCAGGUGCGAAAGCGUGGGGAGCAAACAGGAUUAGAUACCCUGGUAGUCCACGCUGUAAACGAUGUCGAUUUGGAGGUUGUGCCCUUGAGGCGUGGCUUCCGGAGCUAACGCGUUAAAUCGACAGCCUGGGGAGUACGGCCGCAAGGUUAAAACUUAAAGGAAUUGACGG
rnacentral:rRNA from 1 species